UUUUAUUCCAAUCGACCAACUCCUCUGGCGUUUGCCCACGUGAUGAACGCGGAACAAGUGAAAUCGAAAGUACAUCUAAGGGACCGGUGUUCGGGCAAGAACAUUUCGGACGUUUUGUGAAGGAUGGAUUCUCCUCAAGAGGGAGAGGAUGCUGUUGGUGGAAAUCAGACAGGCAGAGCAGCAUGUGCCGUGUCCAGCCACGUGUCCCUGAAGGAUGACGAGUCCGUUACUGAUGGACAUCAGGGGGUCAGCACUGGAAGAUCUUAUCCAAGACCACAGACACACAGACCAGUGUCUCCAGUGCCCAGCUGUUUGUCCAUGAAGAGUGACUGGUCCAUGGAUCUCCCUCGCAAUUUCAGUAGUGAACCACCACAGUCUGAUCCAAAACCACAGACACACAGACCAGUGUCUCCAGUGCCCAGCUGUGUGUCCAUGAAGAGUGACUGGUCCAUAGAUCUCCCUCGCAAUUUCAAUACUGAACCACCACAAUCUGAUCCAAA